rnacentral:piRNA from 1 species
UAGACUGGCAUGGUACCUUGGUGUGGCCACA